rnacentral:rRNA from 1 species
CAGGUGGUGCAUGGUUGUCGCCAGCUCGUGUCGUGAGAUGUUGGGUUAAGUCCCGCAACGAGCGCAACCCUUAUCCUUAGUAGCCAGCAGGUGAGGCUGGGCACUCUGAGGAGACUGCCAGGGAUAACCUGGAGGAAGGUGGGGAUGACGUCAAAUCAUCAUGCCCCUUAUGAUUUGGGCUACACACGUGCUACAAUGGUGACAACAAAGUGGAGCGAGGCCGUGAGGCGGAGCAGAUCACAAAAAAGUCAUCUCAGUUCGGAUUGUAGUCUGCAACUCGACUACAUGAAGCUGGAAUCGCUAGUAAUCGCGGAUCAGAAUGCCGCGGUGAAUACGUUCCCGGGUCUUGUACACACCG